GACGUAAGGCGCGAGCGUUGUCCGGAUUUAUUGGGCGUAAAGAGCUCGUAGGCGGCUUGUCGCGUCGAAUGUGAAAACUCGGGGCUCAACUCCGAGCUUGCAUUCGAUACGGGCAGGCUAGAGUUCGGUAGGGGAGACUGGAAUUCCUGGUGUAGCGGUGAAAUGCGCAGAUAUCAGGAGGAACACCGGUGGCGAAGGCGGGUCUCUGGGCCGAUACUGACGCUGAGGAGCGAAAGCGUGGGGAGCGAACAGG
rnacentral:rRNA from 1 species